CCGCCCAAUGCACCGCCAACGCCCGCUUCCAGGUUGCCACCGGCAAGGGCGGAACCGGUCACGAGAGAAAGUGACAACAACAGAACCGAGGAGAAUUUCAUGUGGGCUAUCUCAUAGGGAUGACGGCGCGAUCGUGCAAUUAACAAUUACUUCAGGCAACGCAAAUCCGACGAAUAGCACGACCUGCGCACAAAUAACUAAGCUGUUGUUUUGUAUAGGGAACUUAGUUGUUUUUUAACGGUCAUAGACCGCUUGUAGCCACUCUUUUUACCCGCUAAUACAGGCGUUGCGCGCUGUUGGGUCAGAUAAUUGCAAACGAUGUGGCAGGCAGUAAAAUCACUUGAGAAAUAAUUUUUAACAUAUAUUUCCCAACUAGUGAAUGAACUUUUUAAAGGCGUUUAUACGUCUUCAAAAAAGGGCCGCUGAUGACAGCGGCCCU
rnacentral:ncRNA from 1 species